GGUCAGGCUACUUGGCUAAAGUUACUGUAGAAAUUGCAGGUCAGGCUACUUGGCUAAAGUUACAGUAGAUAUUGCAGGUCAGGCUACUUGGCUAAAGUUACAGUAGAUAUUGCAGGUCAGGCUACUUGGCUAAAGUUACAGUAGAUAUUGCAGGUCAGGCUACUUGGCUAAAGUUACAGUAGAUAUUGCAGGUCAGGCUACUUGGCUAAAGUUACAGUAGAUAUUGCAGGUCAGGCUACUUGGCUAAAGUUACAGUAGAUAUUGCAGGUCAGGCUACUUGGCUAAAGUUACAGUAGAUAUUGCAGGUCAGGCUACUUGGCUAAAGUUACAGUAGAUAU